rnacentral:rRNA from 1 species
ACGCACGCUGGCGGCAGGCCUAACCCCUGCACGUCGAGCGAGGACUUCGGUUCUAGCGGCGGACGGGUGAGUAACGCGUGGGAAUGUGCCCUUCUCUACGGAAUAGCCCUGGGAAACUGGGAGUAAUACCGUAUACGCCCUUUUGGGGAAAGAUUUAUCGGAGAAGGAUCAGCCCGCGUUGGAUUAGGUAGUUGGUGGGGUAAUGGCCUACCAAGCCGACGAUCCAUAGCUGGUUUGAGAGGAUGAUCAGCCACACUGGGACUGAGACACGGCCCAGACUCCUACGGGAGGCAGCAGUGGGGAAUCUUAGACAAUGGGGGCAACCCUGAUCUAGCCAUGCCGCGUGAGUGAUGAAGGCCUUAGGGUUGUAAAGCUCUUUCAGCUGGGAAGAUAAUGACGGUACCAGCAGAAGAAGCCCCGGCUAACUCCGUG